rnacentral:rRNA from 1 species
UACAGAGGUCCCGAGCGUUUGUUCGGAUUCACUGGGCGUAAAGGGUGCGUAGGUGGCUUGAAAAGUUUGAUGUGAAAGCUCAGGGCUUAACCCUGAAAUGGCAUUGAAAACUGUCGGGCUGGAGGUUUGGAGGGGGGGACUGGAAUUCUUGGUGUAGCAGUGAAAUGCGUAGAUAUCAAGAGGAACACCAGUGGCGAAGGCGAGUCCCUGGACAACACCUGACACUGAGGCACGAAAGCUAGGGGAGCAAACAGG